CCUUAGAGUUUGAUCCUGGCUCAGGAUGAACGCUGGCGGCGUGCCUAAUACAUGCAAGUCGAACGAAUCUCUUUUAGAGAUGAGUGGCGAACGGGUGAGUAAUACAUAGGUAACCUGCCCCUGUGCGGGGGAUAACAGGAGGAAACUCCUGCUAAUACCGCAUAGCCAUGAGCACCGCAUGGAGCUCAUGCCAAAUAUCCUUUAUGGGAUAGCGCAGGGAUGGACCUAUGGCGCAUUAGCUGGUUGGCGGGGCAACGGCCCACCAAGGCAACGAUGCGUAGCCGGCCUGAGAGGGCGGACGGCCACAUUGGGACUGAGACACGGCCCAGACUCCUACGGGAGGCAGCAGUAGGGAAUUUUCGGCAAUGGGGGAAACCCUGACCGAGCAACGCCGCGUGAGCGAAGAAGGCCUUCGGGUCGUAAAGCUCUGUUGUAAAGGAAGAACGGCGCAUACAGGAAAUGGUAUGCGAGUGACGGUACUUUACCAGAAAGCCACGGCUAACUACGUGCCAGCAGCCGCGGUAAUACGUAGGUGGCGAGCGUUAUCCGGAAUCAUUGGGCGUAAAGAGGGAGCAGGCGGCCGCAAGGGUCUGUGGUGAAAGACCGAAGCUAAACUUCGGUAAGCCAUGGAAACCGGGCGGCUAGAGUGCGGAAGAGGAUCGUGGAAUUCCAUGUGUAGCGGUGAAAUGCGUAGAUAUAUGGAGGAACACCAGUGGCGAAGGCGACGGUCUGGGCCGCAACUGACGCUCAUUCCCGAAAGCGUGGGGAGCAAAUAGGAUUAGAUACCCUAGUAGUCCACGCCGUAAACGAUGGUCACUAAGUGUCGGGGGUCAAACCCCGGUGCUGCAGUCAACGCAAUAAGUGACCCGCCUGAGUAGUACGUUCGCAAGAAUGAAACUCAAAUGAAUUGACG
rnacentral:rRNA from 1 species